rnacentral:lncRNA from 1 species
CUUCCCACGCGGUCUCUGGGCUGGUUGAGCUGCGCCGCUGCAGGUAGUGCUGAGUUGCUCCAGUGCCACUGGGUUAGGGUCUCCACAACCGAGCUGGUCUCAGCAAGUGGUGUCCAUACAUGGGGCUCGAACCUGGGUUGAAGGGUCGCCAGAGCGACGGUUGGAGAACGUGGAACUAAGCUGGAGGACACCUGAGUACUCUUAAGCAAUCCCCGUGGUGAGAAUCAACUGCCAAUUUGGAUAUCAUCGAGGCACCUGAAACCUUAUCAUGAGCCUGAUGCUGAGGAAUAGAUUCUGGGAGGAUCCCGAGGAUCCCCUGGUUGCAGCCAUGUUGAGACUGACGCUGAGGGGGACCCCAACUGUCACGAGCAACACCCAUCGAACGCAGCCACCUACCUGGGGACAGAUCAAGAAGCUGUCACAGAUGGCAGAAGAAAACCUAAGGAAAGUGGGACAACCAGUCACAAUGAGUAAUUUAAUGAUAGCUAUGAUAGUGGUGAUCACCAUUGCCAUGAGUAUUCCUUCAACAAGGGCUGGCACAGAGGACAAUUAUACUUAUUGGGCGUAUUUAUCAAUCUUGGCUGGCAAUAAUGCCUGGAUGUAAUCACUCUAUGACACAGUUACACAUGCUUUCUGGUCUCCGUAUUUACCAUAAUAAAUCUGCUCCUGUAAUUGAGGUAUACUGCCCUCAAAAACCUAUUUGUAAACAGAAUUGGACCUGGCUAGAAAUAAUGAAUGUAUUUGUUUGGGAAGAUUGCAUUGCAAAACAGGCAGAGGUGCUGUGCAACAAUUCCCGUGGAAUCAUUAUUGAUUGGUCCCCUAAGGGGAUGUUUAGCUUGAAUUGCACCUGUCAGUCUGUGUGCCACAGCCACACUAUGUUCAGCUGGUCUGAACAAAAUGGUCAAAUGGUAGAAAUGGUAAGAAGUAUGGCAAGAGUUCCUAUUAUUUGAAAACAUGGUGGUAUAGUGGCACCUCAACCUCAAAUGAUAUGGCCCGCUCUAGGAGCUUAACAUAAGGAUUUGUGGAAACUAUUAAUGGCUCUUAAUAAGAUCAAAAUUUGGGAGAGAGUAAAAAAGCAUCUAGAAGGACACUCUACAAACUUGUCUUUGGAUAUUGCAAAAUUAAAAGAACAAAUAUUUAAAGCAUCCCAGGCACACCUGACCUUAAUGCCAGAAAUAGGAGUGCUUGAAGGAGUGUAGACAGAUUAGCAGGUAGUAACCCAUUAAAAUAGAUAAAAACACUUGGAAGCUCUGUGAUUUCAAUGAUGAUGGUGCUUUUAAUCUGUGUUGUUUGUCUUUGUAUAGUCUGCAGCUCCCGACUCCUGCAAGAAGUAGCUCACCAUGAUAAAGCCACCUUUGCAUUUAUCAUCUUGCAAAAACAAAAAGGGGGAACAUGUUGGGAACAGGCCCCCAAAUCUGGCCAUAAACUGGCCCCAAAACUGACCAUAAACAAAAUCUCUGCAGCACUGUGACAUGUUCGUGAUGGCUAUGACACCCACCCUGAAGGUUGUGGGUUUACUGUAAUGAGGGCAAGGAACACCUGGCCCACCCAGGGCAGAAAACUGCUUAAGGCGUUCCUAAGCCACAGACAAUAGCAUGAGUGAUCUAUGCAUUAAGGACAUGUUCCUGCUGCAGAUAACUAGCCCAACCCAUCCUUUUGUUUUGGCCCAUCCCUUUGUUUCCUGUAAGGAAUGCUUUUAGUUAAUCUGUAAUCUAUAGAAACAAUGGUUAUCACUGGCUUGCUGUCAGUAAAUAUGUGGGUUAAACUCUGUUUGGGGCUCUCAGAUCUGAAGGCUGUCAGCCCCCUGGAUUUCCCACUCCACACUCUAUAGUUCUGUGUGUGUGUGUGUGUGUGUGUGUGUGUGUGUGUUUCUUUAAUUCCUCUAGUGCUGCUGGGUUAGGGUCUCCACGACUGAGCUAGUCUCAGCAGUAUAAAAAUCAGAAUAUUAAUUUGGCAACAUUUGGUAAUAUCAAUGCAGAAUAUUUAUCAGAAAUCAAAUGUUAUCACCAAAAAUCUACUCUACUUUGUUAUCCAGGAGAUGCAAUACAAAACCCAUUAAUUAAAACAUUAACAGAUACUAUUAAAAUACUUUGGGAUAAGGUCAGAAAUGCUAAAUGUUACUUAUUAUUUUAGACACAUUACCUGAUGCGAGGCAUAUAGUGCAGAUGAUUAUGGUUAGAGUUGUGAUUUUCUAAACUCAAAUACUUCUAUAUGUGAACAUUUUUGGGAGAUUUUUGUCACAACUGGAGAAAGAUUAUUUUUAAAUUUUAGUAAACUACUUACAAAAACUGAACCAGACAAAAAUAAUUCAAGAAGCUAGAAAUAUGACAACAUGGUGCAAUAGGAAAUCCUUGAAUAAAAAAUAUAUAUAUGUAUAUAUACACCAUAAAAUAUAGAAUGGUAUAUUCUGUAUCAUUCUAUAUUCCUUUUCUAAAGCAUCAUUAUUAUUAUUUGAGAUGAGGGGGAGAUCUAACCAUGUUGCCUGGGCUGGUCUUGAACCCCUGUCCUCAAGCAAUCUUCCUUCCUCAGCCUCCUGAGUAGUUGGGAUUACAGACACAUACCACUAUGCCCACCUUAAAGCUUGCUUGCUUGCUUGCUUGCUUUUUUUUUUUUUUUUUUUUGAGACAGGAUCUUGCUCUGUUGCUCAGGUUGGAGUGAAGUGGCACGAUCUCAGCUCACUGCAACACUCCAGCCUGAGCAACAGAGCAGACUCCAUCUUGGGGAAAGAAAGAAAAAAAAAAAGAACUAUACAUCUACCAAAAGCUUCAGUUAAAUGUUUGGGUAUAUUGAAAACACACUGGAUAUAAAUUUGAAACCACUGUUAAACGUGUGACAGGAAAAUCGAGUUGAGACUGCCAUGCCCGUGUCAACUGACCAUGGGUUCUUGGGCUCUCAAUGCAAUAGAACAUUGACAUGAGGCCAAAAGAGUUUUCUCAAAGCUUCACUGGAGCUUUUGUCCAGCCAUAAGGGAGGCAGAACGAGAGAGAAAGAGAGAUAGAGAGAGACAGAGAGAGAGAGAGAGAGAGUAUUCCCUGACAGACUCCACCUAUAAAAGAACAGGUAGGACUUUUUUAUUAGGCAAAGUACAGAACUGACAUCAGAAGUAGAGUGUACACAGGCUGGGCAAGGCAAACAAUGUGAGGGGUAGGGUAGCAGGUCAGCAUAUCCAGUUGUGAUGGUUAUCUUGAGUAAUGGGCCACCUGGUAGUCUGGCCUGUGACAACAAGACUAUAAAUCAAUUGUCCAGCAGCAUUCCUUUCUGAGGUGGGACACUCUGCAACCUUGGUUAGCUCCUAAAGCCAGUUCCUGGAAUUCUUUAAGUAAAAAGACUAUUAGCAGCGAGGUAAUGGUGUGGGUUUUGUGAUGUGUGGGAAUGCUCUAAUGGGGGUGAACCAAAGCCAGGCUCUGUCUCUACUGUGUCUCACCAGUAAAAACACAAUUACAAACAGCAUGCAAUGCUCUUUUUUGUGAUGAUGGUUAAUAAAGAAUACACAUUCUAAAAUACCAGCAAAAGUUCUACUUUCAAACAUAUGUCUAAAUUUAUUAGCUAAGUACUGACCUGGUAUGAUGCUUUAAGUAAAACUGAUGGUUUAAACAAAAUGACAGAGAAAAAUCAAAAUGCAAUGUCAAAAAAUUUUAAUGUACAUAAUGCUCUCAAAAACCUCAGAGGGAUUAAGAAAUUCAUUUUUUACCUUUCUUAAAAAAUAUAUAUUUUUGGGGACAAGAUCUCAAGCUCUUGGCCUCAAGCAAUCCUCCUGCCUUGUCCUCCUAAAAGUGCUGGGACUACAGGCAUGAGCCAUUGCGCCUGGCCUAAGAAAUUCUUCAAAGGAAAGCUAAGUGAUAAUGCUUACAAAAAGAUAGAUUACUGAGUUUAAAAUAAAUUGCAGAGUCUCUUGACAUUCCUUUCAAUUUCUCCUGCAUAGAGAAUAUUAGAAAAAGGGGAUUUCAAUUGCAAAUCCCUCAGCCCAUCUAUGUUCCAAAACUAAAUUUUAAAAUCAAUUUCUUUUUUAUUCUACAUUGGAAACUGCAAUGUCAUUGUUUUUUCUUUUUCUUUUUUUUUUUUGGAUGGAGUCUCUCUCUGUCACCCAGGCUGGAGUACAGUGGUGUGAUCUCGGCUCACUGCAACCUCCACCUCCCAGAUUCAAGCAAUUCUCCUGCCUCAGCCUCCCGAGUCGCUGGGACUGCAGGGGCCCACCACCACGCCCAGCUAAUUUUUGUGCUUUUAGUAGAGAUGGGGUUUCACCAUGUUAGCCAGGAUGGUCUCAAACUCCCGACCUCAGGUGAUCCGCCUGCCUUGGCCUCACAAAGUGCUGGGAUUACAGGCGUGAGCCACCGCGCCUGGCCAGAAAGUGCAAUAUCACCCUAAAAAUAAAAGUUUACAAUACUGAAAGAAAAUAAUGCCCUUUUCAGUCUUCUAAUCAAGAUCCUUACUAUUUAAAAUGUGCUCCUGGAACAGCAGCAUCAGCAUCACCUGGGAGCUCUUUAGGUGUGCAGAAUCUCAGCCCCACUCCAGAUCAGCUCAGUCAGAGUCUUCAUUUUGACAUGACCCCCAGGCAAUUCAUUUGCAUAUCACAGUUUGAAAAUCACUGGACUAGAUGACAUAUGUAACUUGAAGAAUUACAGGAAAUAUGAACUUCAACAGCUAUUAAAAAUUUAUAACUGAAAUUGACUAAUUUCAGUUAAUGAUGAUAUUGAUGGGAAAUGAACAGAGAGAAACUAAAAACGUUGUUUGUUAAGAUCUGGAGUAACUUCUGCUGAAGUAUUGCAAUGUCUUUGCAGCAAUAAUUGUAUAUUUAUUUAUUUAUUUAUUUAUUUAUUUAUUUUUUUGAGACAGAGUCUCUCUCUGUCACCCAGGCUGGAGUGCAGUGGCGCCAUCUCGGCUCACUGCAACCUGCACCUCCUGGGUUCACACCAUUCUCCUGCCUCAGCCUCCUGAGUAGCUGGGACUACAGGCGCCCGCCACCACGCCCGGCUAAAUUUUUUUUUUUUUUGUAUUUUUAGUAGAGACGGAGUUUCACCACGUUAGACAGGAUGGUCUCAAUCUCCUGACCUCGUGAUCCGCCCAUCUCGGCCUCCCAAAGUGCUGGGAUUACAUGCGUGAGCCACCGCGCCCACCCUAUUUAUUUAUUUUCAUAGAGACAGAGUCUUACUAUGUUGCCCAGGCUGGUCUCAAACUCCUGGACUCAAGCAAUCCUCCUGCCUCAACCUUCCAAAAUGCUGGGAUUAUAGGUGUGAGCCACUGCAGCAGGCCUGCAGCAAUAAUUUAUCACAUUUCCAAAUACUUUGUGUCUCUCAGUGUGUAUUUCACUUUGCUAAUAUGGGUAACCAGGAAAGAAUGUAGCUUCACCAAAUAAAAGUUAGUAGAAACGAAUUAAGGUCUAGAGUGACCAAAAAAGACUGUUACAUCUAGUAAUCAUCAUAUGUGGGAGCAAGGAAGCAUUGAAACUGCCAUAAAGAAUUUUAUUUCCAUGAAAGUAAGACAAACAACUGUUGUAUAGAAAACUAUCAUAUACUAGUGACUUUGAAUUUCUCGGCUGGGCCCAGUGGCUCAUGCCUGUAAUCCCAGCACUUUGGGAGGCCGGGAUGGGCAUAUCACUUGAGGUCAGGAGUUCAAGACCAGCCUGACCGACAUGGUAAAACCCUGCCUCUACUAAAAAUAGAAAAAUUAGCCAGGUGUGGUGGUUUGCACCUGUAAUCCCAGCUACUUGGGAUGCUGAGGCACGAGAAUCGCUUGAACCUGGGAGGCGGAGGUUGCAGUGAGCAGAGAUCAUGCCACUGCACUCCAGCCUGGGCCACAAACUCCAUCUCAAAAAAAAAAAAAAAAAAAAAUUUCGACACUUCAUCUUAGCCAAAAGGCCAAGAAGUGAUAUGACUUAAAAUUUCUAAUGAUUGUGCUAGUUUUUCUUACUUCAGGGCCUUUGCUUAUGCUAUUCCCUGUUCCUGAUACUCCUUCCUCUCCAACAGAGUUGGCUUAAAUGGUUCAGGUCUCAGCUUGAAUGUCAUUUCCUCAGGGUGGCCUUCCCUGACCCCACAAAGUCAGCUGCUCUUAUGACAUUCUCUCAAAACACUCUGAAUUUCCUCUUAGCUCAACAUACCCAUAACUUCCCCUUACAUUUCUGCCUUCCUCUCUGGACUGUAAGCUCCACCAGUGCAGGGACUUUGUCUCUGUCAUUCUGAACCCACUGACCUCCAUGUAUCUUUAGGAGCUCAAUAAAUAUUAAUUAAAUUAAUAAAUAUUAAAUUAAAUAUUAAUUAAAUCAAUAAAUAUUGAUAAAUAUUAAUUAAAUAUUUAUUUAAUUAAUAUUUAUUAAGAUUUACAAAUGAGUGAAUGGUGGUCCUAGUCAUAUUAAAUGAAGUAUAAUCCUGACUUAUAUUUGUAUAACUCUUUUCUCUUUUUAGUACAUUUUUACUUCUGUUUUCCCAUUUGACCCUCCAAAAACUCAGCUCUACCUGGAGAGUCUCUCUCAGUCCUUAAAGUGCAUAUGAGAUCCCCUAGCUGUUAGGUGUGAGCAUGGACUGGAGGUGGAUGGCCUGCCUUCCCAUCCUAAUUAUGCCACUUCAGAUCUGUGUCUUGGGCAAAUUCCCUCACCUCUUUGUGCCCCAGUGUCUUCGUUUGUGCUUACCUCAUAGGUGUACUAUGAGGAGCAAAUGAAUAUAUAAUGUAAAGAUCUUGAACAGUGCCAGAUACCUAACAAAUGCUAGCUAUCAUUCCAGGAGCAGCAUGAAGAUGAAGAGUAUAGGGGCCAGUAUUACAGAUUAGGCAUCCCCAAUAUUGUGCUGAGUAGAAGAAGCUGGACACAAAACAGCACACACUGUGCAUUUCCAUUACAUGAAGUUCAAGGAUAGGCAAAACUAGCCUAUGAUGACAGAGGUAGGCUAGAACAGUAGUGGGCGGGGGCAAGCACACUGACUGGGAAGUACACAGUAGUCUUCUUGGGUGCUGGAAAUGUUUUGUGUCUUGAUCUGGGUGGUGGUUACACAGGUAAGUAUGUCUACAGAAAUUUUUUUUUUUUUUUUUGAGAUGGAGUCUCGCUCUGUUGCACAGGCUGGAGUACAAUGGCACCAUCUCAGCUCACUGCAACCUCCGCCUCCAAGAUUCAAGCAAUUCUCGUGCCUUAGCCUCCCAAGGAGCUGGGAUUACAGGCAUAUGCCACCAUACCUGGCUAAUUCUAAUUUUUGUAUUUUCAGUAGAUACAGGGUUUCGCCAUGUUGGCCAGGCUGGUCUCGAACUCGUGACCUCAGGUAAUCUGCCCACCUCAGCCUCCCAAAGUGCUGGGAGUACAAGCGUGAGCCACCGCACCCAGCCAGAAAUGUAUUCUUAAGAUUUGUGGCUGGGCACGGUGGCUCACGCUUGUACUCCCAGCACUUUGGGAGCCCGAGGUGGGUGGAUCACAUGAGUUCAGGAGUUCGAGACCACUCAGUGAGCCAGUCAGCUCCAGGGGAACAGAACUCCGACAUCCUCCCUGCCGGGGCCUCACGGUCAGGAUUGCUAGUGAUUGGGAUCUCAGGCUUAUUGAUCUAGUUUGUCUUCAAGUGAUAGAAAUCCAAAGCAAAUAGGCAUAUGCAAAAUCAGAGCCAUUUAUUGGGAGAAUGCUGGUGUGCUUAUGGAACAUAGCCUUGGGAAGUGCAGGGAGGGCCUCAGAGACAAGUGGGCCCUUGGACACUUUCUCCCCUCUCUGCUUUUCCUAGUUUUAUCAGAUCAGCUUUCUCCCCAUAAUGGGGGAUGUGGCUGCCAUUAGUUCCUGAGCCUCAUGCUAGAAAACCUGUAUCCUGCGUCAGUCCAGUCCAGCAAAUCUGAGGGAAAGGCUCUGAUUGGCCCAUUUUGAGUACAAUGCCCAUCCCUAGACCGAUCAACUGUGGCCAUGAGCGUAUGACCAAUAACACCCACUGAAAUUACAUAGUGAUUAGAAAGCAGAAAGGAACAGGUCCCCAAAAGAAGGUGUUGUUCCCAGAAGAAAAGGGGGUGCUGGGCAGGGAAGACAAUAUCACAGAUGUCACAGUGGUGGGACAGAGAGGGAUACAACUAAGUCCAUGAAGGCUGGCCUGUGUCUCUUCUAAUUAAACAUAACUUUCUCAGUCCCUGUUGUCCAGUAAUCCAGAGACAAGGUCAGCAGGAUCCUACCUUUGAGAUCCAACUAACUCAGCAAGUGGUGGGAGGGGCACCAGAGAAACAUCAGGUCCUGUCUCAAGCCAGGACCUUCAGCCCUGUCAACAGGACAGUCCAAGAGAGUGGUGGAAGCUCACCAGGCUGGGCCCCCACAAACCAGUCCUGAUGCCACAACUAACAGGCUGGGCCUCAGUGUCCUCCUCUGUAAAAUGAGAGCUGUUGAGCUACCUGAUUAGAGAGAUAACAUUGAGUUCCUGAAUGCCAAACAGCUUGGAUUUAAAUCUCAGCUCUAGGCCUGGCAUGGUGCCUCACACUUGUAAUCCUAGCACUUUGGGAGGACGAGGCGGGUGGAUGGCUUGAGCCCAAAAGUUUGAGAGCAGCCUAGGCAACAUGGCAAAAUCCCACCUCUACAAAAAAUACCAAAAAAUUAGCCAGUCAUGGUGACGUGCACCUGUAGUCUCAGCUACUCAGCAGGCUGAGAUGGGAGGACCAUUUGAGCCCAGGAGGUUGAGGCUGCAGUGUGCACUCCAGUCUGGGCAACAGAGAGACCCUGUCUCAAAACUCUAUCAAUUCAUCAAUCUUAGCUCUACCCUUAGCAGCUCUGUGGUUUUAGAAACUUUUAAAAAAUUUUUACUUGUUAUUGGCCGGGGGCGGUGGCUCACGCCUGUAAUCCCAGCACUUUGGGAGACUGAGGUGGGCAGAUCAUGAGGUCAGGAGAUUGAGACCAUCCUGGCCAACAUGGUGAAAUCCCGUCUCUACUAAAAAUACAAAAAUUAGCUGGGCUUGGUGGCACAUGCCUGUAAUCCCAGAUACUCGGGAGGCUGAGGCAAGAGAACCCCUUGAACCAGGGAGUUGGAGGUUGCAGUGAGCCGAGAUCUUGCCACUACACUCCAGCCUAGCAACAGAGCAAGACUCUGUCUCAAAAAAUAAAAUAAAAUAAAAUAAAUUUUUACUUGUUAUUUUGAAAAGAAUUUUAAAUUUACAGGAUAUUUUCAGGAGUAAGCCAAAUAACUCCUGUAUACCCUUAACCCAGAAUCUGCAAUUUCUACCAUGUUGCCGCACUUAUUUAGUCAUUCUUUCUCUCUUUUUUUUCUGAGCCAUUUGAGAGUACAUUGCAUAUAUCAUGUCCCUUUACCCUUCACAGUUCAGUGUAUUUCCUAAGAGCAGGGACUUUCUCUUACAUAACUGCAGUGCAGUUAUUAAAUUCAGUAGAUUUAUUAUUGAUAAUGAUACCUUCUCAUUGACAGUUCAUAUUCCAAAUGUGGCCAGUUGUCUUGGCAACCCUCCAGCUUUUUUUUUUUCCCCUCCAAUACUGGAUCCAGGCCAGGAUCAAUGACUGCAUUGAGUUGUCAUGUCAUGAUAUUGGAAUGCUCAUACACUGUUGGUGGGAAUGUGAAAUGGUGUGGCUACUUGGGAAAAUAGUCUGACCGUUCCUCAAAAAGGUAAAUACAGAGUUUCCACAUGACUCCAGCAAUUCCACUCCUGGGUAUAUACCCAACCGAAAUGAAAACAUGUCCACACAAAAACUUGUGUACAAAUGUUCACAGCAGCAUUAUUGAUAAUAGUCAAAAGGUGAAAACUACCUAAAUCUCCAACAAUGAUGAGUGAAUGAACAAAAUGUGGCAUAGCCAUACAAUGGAUUACUAUUUGGCCAUAGAAAGGACUGAAAUACUGACACAAGCUGCAAUGUGGAUGAAACUGGAAAACGUGUGAAGUGCAGAGAGCCAAUCACAGAAGACCACACGUUGUAUGAUUCCAUUUACAUAAGAUGUUCAGAACAGCCAAAUCCAUAAAGACACAAAGUAGAUCAGUGGUUGCUCAAACCUGGGACAGAGCGCACACACGCGCACACGUGUGUGUUAAAAACAACAACAGAAAUCAGCUAGAGGUGCAUGGUGGCUGCCCUUAGACCUGGCCCGUGCACUCGUUUGCCACAGUCUCCACCAUGCCCUGUUACUCCCCGACACUGCACCUAGGGGCCAGGUCCGUUUAGCACAGCACUUCCAUCUGUGUUCCUCACACCCUGCUGCUUCCCCUCACCGACUUCACACCUGUCCUGCCCCAGAGGAAGUUAAUUUGGUGAUGGCCUAUGUGAAGACAGUCAGUAGGUGGUUCCCGCCUGGAAUCCCAGCACUUUGGGAGGCCAAGACGGGAGGAUCACUUGAGCCCACGGGUUUAAGACCAGCCUGGGCAACAUGGCAAAACCCUGUCUCUAUAAAAAAUACAAAACAUUAGCCAGGUGUGGUGGCAUGAGCCUGUAGUCCCAGCUUCUCAGGAGGCUGAGGUGGGAGAAUCACUGGAGCCUGGGAGGUUGAAGCUGCAGUUAGCUAUGAUCGUGCCACUGCAUUCCAGCCUGGGUGACAGAGCAAGAUCCUGUCUCACAAAAAAAAAAAAAAAAAAAAAAGGAAAGCAAGGGUGAGUCAAUGACAAGAAGGUGUGCAGUGUGGGUGACAAAAACAAGGGGGGAGUCUGCAAGGGGGAGCAGCUUGAGGGGAGCAGAGACUUCAAGGGGAGGAAGCCUGAGUGACUCAGCAAUCAUUGGGGGACAUUAGGGCAGAGGGAGGAAGUACAGGCCGGGUGCGGUGGCUCACGCCUGUAAUCCCAGCACUUUGGGAGGCUGAGGCAGGCAGAUGACUUGAAGUCAAAAGUUCGAGACCAGCCUGGCCAACAUGGUGAAACCCCAUCUCUACUAAAAAUACAAAAAAUGAGCUGGGCGUGGUGGUGCACGCCUGUAAUUCCAGCUACUCAGGAGUCUGAGGCAGGAGAAUAGCUUGGCCCCAGGAAGUGGAAGUUGCAGUGAGCCAAGAUCACACCAUUGCACUCCAGCCUGCAUGACAGAGUGAGACUCUGUCUUGAAAACAACAACAACAACAAAAAAAAAAACAAAAGAAGGAAGAAGUGCAGGAUCCUGGGUGGAACAUGUCGGGGUAUUCAGGCACCAGGCAGGAGGCCAUGACACCCCCCAUUCCCCACCAAGGGAUUCCUGGUGCCAGUGAGGGCUGAGCCAUCAGGGACAGGGACAGGUGCACCCCUUCAGUGGCCAUGUCCCUCCAGGCCGGCCUCCCCAGUGCUGCCCCCAUGGGCCCCGCCUCUUCCAAAGCUUGCACCCCAGGAGACAAUAGAAGCACCUCAUCCUGGCAUUUAGGGACCCUGGGAAUCUGGCCCCACCUUAUCCUUCCAGCCUGUACCUGCUGCCUCCGCUUAUUCAAGACCUAAGUUUCCUGGUGGCCGUGCCCCCCAUGGGGUGGCUGUCAUCCAGGCAGGGGUAUUCCUGGGGAGCCCUUCCCUUCCCUACCUCCAAUGCACCUACAGGGCCCCUACUAUUAAUAGCAGCACCUCUGCCUGGGGCUCCCUGAGAGGCUGGGGUGGGAGAGGGGUGGUCCAGCAGGCAGUAAUCAAUGUCCCCAAAUGGUGGCAAGUGUGUGUGAAUAUGUGUGCCGGUGUCUGUGUGUGUGUGUGUGUGUGUGUGUGUGUGUGUGUCUGUUUGUGUUUGUGUGUGUGUGUGGUGGGAGUUUCUGCACUGUGAUAGGAGGAAAGCACAAGUGGUUCUGGGAUCCAGGGCAGAAGGGGCUCCUCUGUGUCCAGGGCUCAGGGAUGCUCCCCAGAGUACCGGAUAUCUCAGCUAGGACUGAAGGGACAGGAAGUCACUCAGUGCAGGAGAGUAAGGGGGGAACUCUAGGCAGUGGGGACGGUGUGUAGGAAACAUGA